rnacentral:lncRNA from 1 species
UAGUGUGGGCUUCGUACCCUUCAGGUCGUUUUUGAGCCUAAUAAAUGCUCAGUUUGGUUAUUGCGGGUGUGCUAGGCCUCUGCUGUUGCUGUAUGUUCGUGUGGGCAAGUGCUAUGAAGCCUUCGGCGAGCUGUUUUCGAAUGGGCCAUUAUUUUUAAGAGCGAAUCACCGGGGAGGCCAAAAUUACCGGGUUUCGACUCUCGGUUGAACUUGGCUCAUUCUUUUGCGGCAAGCGGAGUGCGGAUUUGGUCGAGCCUCGGGAUAGCGGUUUUGGUUAUUGUGUCUGCCUUGCCUUGUCAUAGCUAGCUUGAGUUUGUGUUUAGGUAUUUUUUUUCGUUUGUCUGUUUCUUGUCAUUCUCUGUAAUUCUGUCAAAAAUGAAAAAACUGGUAAUAAUAUCUUUACAUUUUUACCAAAAAAAAAAUUUGGUAGUUUAAGACUACAUAUCACUUUAAGGAAGUAGAUACAAUACAUAAGUUAAAGGCGUUUUAGUGGUGAAAUUUAUUUUUAUCAUUGUUUUUUCAAUUUUUUUUCAGUAACACAAAAUAUGUGAUAUAUUUGGACCUUUUAUAAAUUACUAAAAUGCUUUUAAAUGUAUUUACAUAGAUUUUUGGAUUACACAAAACUCUUUUUCACUCCACCUAGCUCUCCUCAUGACCACUCUUGUUUUUUCCAUAAACCUUUUCAGACUUUGGUGGUGUUUUCUUUGGGAUCAUUUUUAUGUUUGAAAUCCUCAGGCCAUUACUCGCUUUGGAUUCUUGCUUCCAACCAUCAACACUGUGGCGAAGUCGAGAAGAAUACUUCUCUUUCACCUCACGAUAUGAUGAUUUUACUACUUUGCUGCAGCUCUUUCUACGGUUAAAGUUUGGUGACUUGGGCCAAUUCAAAGAAACUGUAAUGAAGCAACCAUAAGGAUGUACAAAAUGAAGUUGGCAUAAACAAACUAAAUAAAAUACUUUCGUUUUCAUACUUUUUUAAUGGAAGUUUCAGUGGAGAAGCAUGGUAGUAGAAAUUUGGAAAUGGAGUAGCUUUGUUAUGUGUUAGUAUAAUUAACAGAAGAUGGUAAAAACUAAUCUGAGAAAAUAAAUGUCAUGUGCUUUAAAAAAUCCUAUUGAUGAUGAUCUUUUUCUUCUGAGAUCACUUCUGAGCUUUCAUCUGAAACUUCCUGAUGCUCUCUACAGUUUUCCUUGCUGCUAUAUGGAUUCUUGAAGAGAGGAUUGGUUUCAAGUUCAGACAACAUCUUCUUCUUUGAUUCAUUCAUUAGCAUCUCGAGCACUUCAGACAUUGUCAGUCUCUUCUCUGGCUCCAUCUAAGCAUAUAUUAGUCCCACGACUCCCACCAAGACAAACUUCUCAGCUUCUCUUCCAUGUUUUCCUCUUUCAGUCUCUUAUUAACGAUUUCACAAAAUUUCUUUUGAAUCUCAACUUCAAUAGAGAAAUCUAUAUCUUCUCUGUGACUCCAUACCUUGAGCCUCUUGAUUGCAACCUGCAAGAACACAAAUGAUCAGAAAAAACCGAAUAGGCCAGCAGAAUGUUUCACCUCACAUGAUGAGGUUAUAAAUAAGAAGCACGUUCUACAUAACAGUUAAGUUAAAGAGAAGAAACGCUGAGAUAAAUAUACUUGUGAACCAUCGGAGAACUGACCCCAAUACACACUGCCGAAGCGGCCUUAACCGAGUUUGUUUGUCGUAGUUAAAACUGUUUGUGGCUGAGUGAAGCUCCUCACUGAGAAUAUCUUCCGAGAUGGCUCUGUCUCCAGUAUCUUUUUUCUGUGUAAGCUUGAUGUUAAACCAAACUUAACCUAAAUUAUAUCCAAAGAAAAUCUAUUUCAGACCUACAAAUCAAGAAAGGACAAAUAGAGCCAUUUAUGAUCUUCAUCACUAUUCAACGAUGAGCUAAGUUUAUGACAAAGUAUCUGUUUAUUCAAGAAGCUUCCAACAAAAGAAAUGAACUAUACAUAAAAACCAUUAAAGACGAUGGAAAGGCAUGAAGAUUGGAGCAUAAAUAGACUCCAAAAGUGUUAUAAAUAUCUUAAACACAAAAAAGUCUUAAAUACUAAUCAGGAAGAAAAGCAUAACAUAUUUAGCCGAAAACACUUUAAAAUUAGACAAAUCCAUAAAAAAGAGGGAGAUUUUUAAAAUCAUUGGAGUCAAUGAAUUAAGAAGAUAAACAGAUAUAUACCCAUCAAAUCCUUUUCCACAACAGCUAGUAAAUGAGCGGAGUGGGAGGGGAGGUGGAGCGUAGUUUAAUGAUUAGAUUAAUGGUGGAGUUAUGAGAAGGGAAAACAUUACAAUUGUUUUUUAUCGGAACCAUAGAAAUAUGAAUGUUUAAGGCGCCUGAGCUUGAACAUGAACACUCUAAGAUAACCAAGAUACCGUGGGCCGAGAUUUUCGUAUAAUAUGGGCCCAAAAAAAUCAAACGAAAAAGACAAAAAAAAAUCAAACGAAGAGGGAUGGAACAGCGACACGUGGCGAAUUUUGGAGCAUUGUCUGCAUAGGUAAAGUGUUGAGAAGGGAGAAAAUGCAUCUUUAUUGCUAUAGAUAUUUGAUGUAAUAUCUUGUAAUGAUGGAUUUGCAGUUAGGUAUGAUUGGAGUAUUUAAAAAGUUGGCGAGGUUAUAUUGUAAAUACUAAUAAAAUGUGGGCAAUUCUAAUAAAUAAUGUGGAACUCUUCCGAACGCCAUGAGUUAAAAGACAAAUCAACCCCUCAUAAUCUCAAAACCAAAUUUCACUGAAUACGAUGGAAGGGCAAAACCGUAAACAAAGCAACGAUCAAAGAAAUGAGGUUUAAAAAUAAGGAAAAACAAGGACCGUCUGAUUCGUUUGUACAGUUACAGUAUAACCUGUGAUUGAAAAAAAAAAAAAUAAAUAAAAAACAUCUCUUCUUCUCUCUCUCUCUCGCAAUCGAUCUCAACCAACGCCAAUCCAAUUAAAAAUUAUUGUAAAUGUAAAAACCUAAUAAUAGAGUUUUUCUGGAUUUUCACGAAGGAAUUGCAUCGCCAGGUAAUGAAUUUGUUGAAGCAUACAUCUCCUAUGUUUCUGCCUUUUAAUUUAUCUGCUAUGUUCCUGGAGUCGUCGUGCUCCUGCCUUAUUACGAUUUGGACUUACAUGUUUGGUAGUGUCUUGUUUUCGUUGGGUUUCGUUAUUUCCAAACUUUCAGUGUGUCGGAGCCGGUUUAGUAGGCGUUUCAUUUGUUUCGCGAUGGGAUGAAGUGUUUUUUUUUAAACUUAUGAUGGGAUGAAGUUUCUAUUUAAGAUUGUAAUAUUUGUGGAGAUCUAUCUUUCCUCUAACCGCUUUGUUUGUUUUAGAUGUUGCAACUCAAGGAGCAAUAUUCAUGUUUACAACUACUCUAUUUGGCUUUUGUGGUCGCUUGCUUUCAGAGUUUUGUAAUAAAAUGUGCUUUUUUCUACAUGUGCAGUUGCCUUUUCUAUCCAAACUAUAAAUAAAAUAUGUCCAAUUACCAAGCGGAGGAGGAUGCUGCGUACAUGGACCAUGUUGAUGAUGAUAUGGAAGAUGUAGACGAUGAUCUAGAUGACAACUUUCAUGGUGAUGACAUGGCUGCAUCUGACUCCGAUGUCGACGAGUUUGACUACUCUGUAAGAAUAUAUAUGCCUCCAUAAUAAGUCUUAUGCAAAUUCGUUUUUGCCAUUCUUAAAUGCUUACCGUGAAAUGUACAACUACUAUAUAUAUAUAUAUAUAUAUAGUUUUUGUUACUAAAUUGUGUGGGUUUAUUUUGGUUAUAGAGUAAUAAAAUAGCAGAUACUUCAGCUGAGCAAGCCCGUAAAGGCAAAGACAUCCAGGGUAUUCCUUGGGAUAGGCUUAGCAUUACCAGAGAGAAAUACAGACAAACUAGACUAGACCAGUAUAAAAACUACGAAAAUGUCCCUAACUCUGGUAAUUCCUCCGGGAAAGUAAGUAAUAGUCUACCCAUUCUCUUAUCCCCUUUAGCUAUUGUCUGCUUGUUUCAUCAAUAAUAUUGGUUUCAACUUCAACUGUUACAUACUUAUUUAUCAUUUGCUUAAUGGCCUCUCAGGAUUGCAUGGUUACACAAAAAGGGGCCAUCUUUUAUGAUUUCUGGCGGAAUUCAAGAUCUAUCAAAUCAAGUAUCCUCCAUUUCCAGGUUUUCAUCCAAGCAUAUCUACCUUUUUUUUCUUACUCCAAUUGUUUUAGUCCGUAUGCAUAAUGGGGAUGUACAAAUUGCUGCAACUGUCAGCAUAAGUUAAAACAUAAAUGGAUUCUUGUUGUUCUAAAAAAGCUUCUAUGUGUACAUCUUUGUAUUGUAGUUGAGGAAUUUGGUAUGGGCAACUUCUAAGCAUGAUGUGUACCUCAUGUCACAAUUUUUAGUGAGCCAGUACUCUACUUUGACUUCUGGAAAGCAUGAAAUUCUCAAUGUUCAAGGCCAUGUUUCCCCAUCCGAGGUUUGCUUCCUUCUUCCAGAAUCAUCAGAGAUUCUUCUUCUAAAACCCACAUCAGUUAGUGGUUUUUUCUUGUGUGGGUGCAGAAACAUCCUGGAAGUUUGCUGGAGGGAUUUACGAAGACUCAAGUGAGUACGCUUGCAGUUAAAGAUAAAUUCUUAGUUGCUGGUGGAUUUCAAGGAGAACUUAUAUGCAAGGUAAACUCUAAAGUUCUUCCAAUUAUGGAUUACACAGACAUGCAAUCUAAUCAACUGUUUCCACAAUUGUUUGAUGCAGCAUCUUGAUAGACCUGGUGUGAGCUUCUGUUCCCGUACAACCUAUGACGAUAAUGCUAUCACCAAUGCAAUUGAGAUUUAUAACAAACCCAGGUAUCUGCUCCAUGUAGUUUUUUUUUGCUAGUUUCCAGCUUCUAACAUUCCCUUUGGCCUAUGUCUGUUUGUCUGCAGUGGUGCACUUCAUUUCACUGCCUCAAAUAAUGAUUGUGGAGUCAGAGACUUUGAUAUGGAGACAUAUCAGCUUGUUAACUACUUUCGCUUUCCUUGGCCAGUCAAUGUAAGUCUAUUCUUUUUUUGUUGAUUAUUAUUUUUUACACUGGCAUAAGUGUAUGUGUCACAUUAAGUUUGAGUAAUUUUUAUUGUCAGCACAUAUCUAUGAGCCCUGAUGGUAAAUUAUUGACUAUUGUGGGAGACAACCCGGAGGGUCUUCUCGUAGACCCCAACACUGGAAAGGUGCAGACACACUAUCUCUAUAUGAUCAACUCUUCUGAAUAAAUAACCAUGUUUGUCUUCUAACUCAGUUGGAUGUUUCCGACAGACACUGGAAACGCUAGCAGGACAUUUGGACUUUUCCUUUGCAUCAGCAUGGCACCCAGAUGGGCUCACGUUCUCUACAGGUAACCAAGACAAGACCUGUCGGGUUUGGGACAUUCGUAACCUGUCUAAAUCUGUUGCUGUCUUGAGGGGUAACCUUGGAGCAAUCCGAUCUAUCCGCUACACAUCUGAUGGGAAAUACAUGGCCAUGGCUGAGCCGGCUGACUUUGUCCAUGUCUACGAUGUCUCGAAGGGGUAUGAAACAGAGCAAGAGAUCGAUUUCUUUGGGGAGAUAUCGGGAAUUUCCUGCAGCCCUGACACGGAAGCGCUCUUCAUCGGUGUUUGGGACCGUACUUAUGGUAGUCUCCUUGAGUAUGGCCGCCACCACAACUACUCCUACCUCGAUUCAUUUAUGUAACCGUUCGAGCCAUCAGAAGAAUAAAAGAGCUUACCACAUGCCUGGUAUACACUUGCGUCCAAAUAAAAACAUUAUAAUCAAAUCUCCAAUGGUGUAAAUGAUGUGUUGUGCAAGUACUAGGGGUUUUCACAGAUAGUCUAUUUAGUUAGCUUUUGAGUGUUGACUGUUGAGGUUCGUGUAUUUGUACAUAAGUGUUUGAGUUUCAGCUUGAGUUUGCAUAAACUCUUUACUCUGGAUAGACCAGGAUGAAACAACACGAUCGCCUGUAGCUUAGUAUUUGGCUAUAAUCCAUUGUUAGGGACUCGUUUUCAUCCUUUUCUGCUGAUUUUGUGUUGUAUUCUAUUGGAUUGUAAACUUGUAUGGAUUAAAUUGAACGUUAAUAGAGUAGGGUCUUAUAAGGAGAACCGUCUAAACUAUGAGGGUUUUAACCCAAAAAGAAUUUGAUUUUGUGUUAAUCUCUGUAGUCUAAAUUGACAAAAGAAAACUUUGGGCGUUUUACAAAACAAAAUGUAUAUAUUGGGGCUUUAACGCAAAUAUUGCUUCUAGUAUGACUGUGAAAUGUAAGGCGCUUUACGGGAACAAGUCUAAACUAGGAGGGGCUGUAAGACAAAAUACUUGUCUGAAAUCUCAUAAUCCAAUACAAACCAAUGAGAGAAUGCCACAUCAUCAACCUUGAAUCCUAUCCUCACAAGCAAAAUCUUGUAUCGUCUCCUCCAAGAAGCCAAAAGUGAUCAUAAAUCCAAAACCACUCAUUCUCUCUUGCACUGAAACUCUCCAAAGAAUAAGAAGAUAACAUGGCGGCGACAAGCGCAUCUGCUUUGCUCUCACCAACAACUUUCUCCACCGUAAUCUCCCAGAAAAACCCAAACUCCAUCUCAUUCCACGGCCUUCGUCCUCUCCGACUCGGUGGCUCCUCCGCCUUACCAAAGCUAUCCACCACCUCCGGAAGAAGAUCUUCCUCCUCCGCCG